AUUUCACUUAGACACCUCAA
rnacentral:miRNA from 1 species